rnacentral:rRNA from 1 species
CCUACGGGUGGCAGCAGUGAGGAAUAUUGGUCAAUGGACGAGAGUCUGAACCAGCCAAGUAGCGUGAAGGAUGACUGCCCUAUGGGUUGUAAACUUCUUUUAUAUGGGAAUAAAACGAGGCACGUGUGCCUGUUUGCAUGUACUUUAUGAAUAAGGAUCGGCUAACUCCGUGCCAGCAGCCGCGGUAAUACGGAGGAUCCGAGCGUUAUCCGGAUUUAUUGGGUUUAAAGGGAGCGUAGACGGGUUGUUAAGUCAGUGGUGAAAGUUUGCGGCUCAACCGUAAAAUUGCAAUUGAUACUGGCAGUCUUGAGUACAGGUGAGGUAGGCGGAAUGCGUGGUGUAGCGGUGAAAUGCUUAGAUAUCACGAAGAACCCCGAUUGCGAAGGCAGCUUACUAACCUGUGACUGACAUUGAUGCUCGAAAGUGUGGGUAUCAAACAGGAUUAGAUACCCUGGUAGUC